rnacentral:autocatalytically_spliced_intron from 1 species
CUACCUCAAUUAACAUCGGGGUCCCAUUCUAGCAAUAGGAUGGUGCUGUUUCUGUUCUGUGUGUGAUUACUCAAGCACAAAACAGAGAAUUUGGGCUCAUAACGGUGAACCCUUCGUUUCAUCUUCUACUUUUCUUCGGGUCUUUAUGAUACCGUAGAAAUAUGAUGAAACAUGGCAACACCGUGGGAAGUCGGAUACUUUUACAAAAGUAUCUUGACCCCGUAUCGACUCAGAAUGAAGAAUUCUGGAUGGAGUAUAUCUCUAUAUUACAUAUUCCAUAACACGCCCACAUCCGCCCUUAGCGGAUGAAGGUAUAGUCAGGCUAUAAACGAAAGUUUUUA